rnacentral:sRNA from 1 species
AUCUAUCUGUUGUGGACUAAUAAAAUGAAUAUGCGUAUCAAUGCCACCUGGGGUUACGAUGAGGCCUUCGCCGGCCAGUGCUUCUGUGGCGGCACCGACGGUCAAACCCGGCGUUACGCCUUCCAUGGUGUCCGGGUUACCCGAUUUACCAAUGCCUACGAUGCGGCCAUCUUUGAUGCCAAUAUCGCCUUUAAUGAUGCCCAGCACCGGGUCGAUGACUACGGCAUUAGUAAUGACCAAAUCCAACGCACCGUUACAGCUUGUUAUUUCAGAGGCUUGGCCCAUGCCAUCGCG